rnacentral:ncRNA from 1 species
CUGUCCUUAGUACGAGAGGACCGGGAUGGACUGACCUCUGGUGCACCAGUUGUUCCGCCAGGAGCAUAGCUGGGUAGCUAAGUCGGGAAGGGAUAAACGCUGAAAGCAUCUAAGCGUGAAGCCCCCCUCAAGAUGAGAUUUCCCAUAGCGUAAGCUAGUAAGACCCCUUGAAGAACACAAGGUUGAUAGGUCAGAGGUGUAAGUGUGGUAACAUAUUUAGCUGACUGAUACUAAUAGGUCGAGGGCUUGACCAA